GUGAAACUCGAUUCUGCGCAGUUUGUCUCUUUACACUGACGACAGGACGUGCUGCGUCAUCACGCACUCAGAGCUGAAGGGACUCGAUUGAUUGGCCGCUGAGGUCGCCCCGGCCCUGACGAUGGCUGAUCCAAUGAGGGAGGAGGCCUGAUGGGGAUUGAGUUUCUUAAGUAUCUUCUGGCAGCGAGCAGGAUUUCAGUUUCACAGCAUGAAAUCAUGAAGCCAUCAGACAGAUCUUCAGCAGUGGAACCUGCUUCAUCAGCUCAGGUGGCUCGAUCGAUGGUCGAGACAUUUUUUAACUCAUUCGUCGUGUUGUGUGUCGUCGGCGUGCAGAUGCGCGCUCAGGAAAUGACAAAAUAAGAGCACGCUCUGUGAGGACACAGGUGUAUUCAGACACUUAUUGUGAAGCCACAGAUUCUUGAUGCAUUCUUUUUAUUUCUCGUUUUAUGAUGGAGCGUCCCGUCAGUCACAGACUCGUUAAAGUCACUUUGAGCUCGCUGAAACUGUAAAUCCAACAAGAUAAAAGUCUUUAAGAGCCGGACUCAUUCCAUCCAACAUUUUUACACAAUCUCAUCAGUUUAUUUGACCCACUCACAAAAACAAGACAGGAAAUCCUCAGUUUAACCCACAGCGCCCCCUGCAGGCCAAUCAAAGCACAGCCGAGGACUCUGAGGGAUCAGCAUGAAUAUGCGGAACAGUGUCACAGUUUGAGGACGUUUGGUCUGAUAAUUGCUGUGGGAGUUUGGGGAAUGUCCCGGCGUCUCUUCAGGGGAGUUUUAAGCAGCAGAGGGAGCAGAGACGAGUCUGCCACCGCCGCCACGAGCUGCACCUUUAAAAAUCAGACAGAUUAAAUAGAUGAAGCCUCGAGGCGAGACGCGAGCACGAGGGUCGCAGCCGCUUAAAUACAGUUCUGGGAGUCGUCGAGUUAAAGGAGAACUUCACUAUAAUCUGUAUUUAAAGCAGAUUUAUGA